rnacentral:rRNA from 1 species
CCUGGAGUGGGGGAUAACUUCCUCGAAAGAGAAGCUAAUACCGCAUACGCUCGGCCAUUCAGUUGGUCGAGUAAAGCUCCGGCGCUCCAGGAGGGGCCUGCGUCCGAUUAGCUAGUUGGUGGGGUAAUGGCCUACCAAGGCGAUGAUCGGUAGCUGGUCUGAGAGGACGAUCAGCCACACUGGCACUGACACACGGGCCAGACUCCUACGGGAGGCAGCAGUGAGGAAUAUUGGUCAAUGGGCGAAAGCCUGAACCAGCAACGCCGCGUGAGGGAUGAAGGCCUUCGGGUCGUAAACCUCUUUUCUGGGAGAAGAGACAAGGACGGUAUCCCAGGAAUAAGUCUCGGCUAACUACGUGCCAGCAGCCGCGGUAAAACGUAGGGAGGCAAGCGUUAUCCGGAUUUACUGGGCGUAAAGCGCACGCAGGCGGCUGCGUAAGUCGGACGUGAAAGCUCCCGGCUCAACUGGGAGAGGUCGUUCGAAACUGCGCGGCUUGAGGUUGGAAGAGGAGAGCGGAAUUCCCGGUGUAGUGGUGGAAUGCGUAGAUAUCGGGAGGAACACCAGUGGCGAAAGCGGCUCUCUGGUCCACACCUGACGCUCAGGUGCGAAAGCGUGGGUAGCGAACGGGAUUAGAUACCCCGGUAGUCCACGCUGUAAACGAUGCGAACUAGGUGUUGGUAGUAUUAAACCUAUCAGUGCCGAAGCUAACGCGAUAAGUUCGCCGCCUGGGGACUACGGCCGCAAGGCUAAAACUCAAAGGAAUUGACGGGGGCCCGCACAAGCAGCGGAGCGUGUGGUUUAAUUCGAUGCAACGCGAAGAACCUUACCUG